GGUGAAGAGGGUGUAACUAAGCCCUCACCUGGCUCUCAGCGGAGCCAGAAACACCGGCUGCGCAGCUGCUUUACGUGCGGAAGACCCCGGGCCGGACCCUCUACUUCCUAACACCUCUGCCCAGGUGUGCCUUAGGGGAGUUCAGGAGAGGAGGUGAGAAAAUGGAAGAUCAGAUCAAGAGACAAGCCCAUUAAAUGACAGAAGAGGGGCUGAAAUCUGAGCCCUAGCUGCAGGAAUAACAUCACUAUUGUAAAACCGAAGAUCAGUGCUUGAGAUAUUCUGCAGACCCUGCACUUGAUGGAUCAGCUGGCACCACCCAGAUCAAUAAACUGGCUCAUCUGAUCUUGUGGCCCCAUCCAGGAACUGGCUCAGCACAAGAGGACAGCUUCAACUCCCUGUGAUUUCAUCUCCCUGUGAUUUCAUCUCCAACCCAGCCGACCAGUCAGCACUCCCGACUCACUGCCCUCCUCCAACCCACUAAAAGUCUGA